UAAAUACUAAUACCAGAUCGAUAGUGCACAAGUACCGUGAGGGAAAGGUGAAAAGAACUGAGGUGAUCAGAGUGAAAUAGAACCUGAAACCAUUUGCUUACAAUCAUUCAGAGCACUAUGUAGCAAUACAGUGUGAUGGACUGCCUUUUGCAUAAUGAGCCUGCGAGUUGUGGUGUCUGGCAAGGUUAAGCAAACGCGAAGCCGUAGCGAAAGCGAGUCUGAAUAGGGCGCUUAGUCAGAUGCUGCAGACCCGAAACGAAGUGAUCUAUCCAUGAGCAAGUUGAAGCUAGUGUAAGAACUAGUGGAGGACUGAACCCAUAGGCGUUGAAAAGCCCCGGGAUGACUUGUGGAUAGGGGUGAAAGGCCAAUCAAACUUCGUGAUAGCUGGUUCUCUCCGAAAUAUAUUUAGGUAUAGCGUUGUGUCGUAAUAUAAGGGGGUAGAGCACUGAAUGGGCUAGGGCAUACACCAAUGUACCAAACCCUAUCAAACUCCGAAUACCUUAUAUGUAAUCACAGCAGUCAGGCGGCGAGUGAUAAAAUCCGUCGUCAAGAGGGAAACAACCCAGACUACCAGCUAAGGUCCCUAAAUCUUACUUAAGUGGAAAACGAUGUGAAGUUACUUAAACAACCAGGAGGUUGGCUUAGAAGCAGCCAUCCUUUAAAGAAAGCGUAAUAGCUCACUGGUCUAGUGAUUUUGCGCGGAAAAUAUAACGGGGCUAAAGUAAGUACCGAAGCUGUAGACUUGCACACAA
rnacentral:rRNA from 1 species